rnacentral:lncRNA from 1 species
AUGCUGGGCUAAGACAAGGGGCAGAGGCAGAGAGAGAGAGAGGAGCCACCCUGAGAAGGAAGAGACCAGGUGGGCUCUGAGACAGGGAGACCCUUUCUACGUCGGUGCCUUGACAUGUGACUUUUUUGUCACUUCGUGCUCCAGGAUCACACCUGGAUGAACUAUCACUUUCAAAUGACCUUGUCUUUUCUCGGGCCUUCUGAACUGAUCAUCUCUUCCUUCUGAUACAAGAGGAUCUUCCCUGGAAGACCACUGCACACCUUCUAGUAACACUGCGACCCUGGAUGCAUAUUUAGAAAAAUCUCAGCACAUCUCUGGGCAAUGAAAUCAUUCUUUUGGGACCUGACACAUGAACUGAAGUGUAAUUGGCAUUCUUCGUGGAAGGGGCAUGGAUUUAAAUUGUCAUAAUAUUCUACUUUGAAGAACACCAGUAGACCGAAGCAAGAUGACUAAUUUUUAAUGCCAAAGUAUGCAAAACCUGCCACUUCACUGGCAAGCCAUGAAUUAUUCAUAAAUAUAGACUUGG